rnacentral:rRNA from 1 species
ACGAACGCUGGCGGCAUGCCUAAUACAUGCAAGUCGAACGAGAUCUUCGGAUCUAGUGGCGCACGGGUGCGUAACGCGUGGGAAUCUACCCUUGGGUUCGGAAUAACUUCGGGAAACUGAAGCUAAUAUCGGAUGAUGACGAAAGUCCAAAGAUUUAUCGCCCAGGGAUGAGCCCGCGUAGGAUUAGCUAGUUGGUGGGGUAAAGGCUCACCAAGGCAACGAUCCUUAGCUGGUCUGAGAGGAUGAUCAGCCACACUGGGACUGAGACACGGCCCAGACUCCUACGGGAGGCAGCAGUAGGGAAUAUUGGACAAUGGGGGCAACCCUGAUCCAGCAAUGCCGCGUGAGUGAUGAAGGCCUUAGGGUUGUAAAGCUCUUUCGGUGGGGAAGAUAAUGACGGUACCCACAGAAGAAGCCCCGGCUAACUUCGU